rnacentral:rRNA from 1 species
UACGAUAGGCUAAUUAAGGGCGCAUGGGGGAUGCCUAGGCUCUCAGAGGCGAAGAAGGACGUGAUAAGCUGCGAAAAGCUGCGGGGAAUGGCACAUACAUUUUGAUCCGCAGAUAUCCGAAUGGGGCAACCCGUUAUGUUGAAGACAUAACACACCGUAAGGUGAGCAAACCCGGGGAACUGAAACAUCUAAGUACCCGGAGGAGAAGAAAACAAAAGUGAUUCCGCUAGUAGUGGCGAGCGAACGCGGAAUAGCCCAAACCAAUAUUGUUACGGCAAUGUUGGGGUUGUAGGACCACGUUAUUUGAUGCUUAAAGAAUUAGAAUUUACUGGAAAGUAAAACCAUAGAGGGUGAUAGUCCCGUAUAGGUAAAUUAAGUUAUUGAUAGUGGUAUCCUGAGUAGUGCGGGGCACGUGAAACCUUGCAUGAAACUGCCGGGACCAUCCGGUAAGGCUAAAUACUCCUGAGAGACCGAUAGUGAACCAGUACCGUGAGGGAAAGGUGAAAAGAACCCUGAAUAAGGGAGUGAAAUAGAACCUGAAACCAUGCGCUUACAAGCGGUCGGAGCAGCGUAAGCUGUGACGGCGUGCCUUUUGCAUAAUGAGCCUACGAGUUACCGUUGCUAGCGAGGUUAAUCGAUUCAGUCGAGGAUCCGUAGCGAAAGCGAGUCUGAAUAGGGCGUGAUAGUUAGUAGUGGUAGACGCGAAACCGUGUGAUCUACCCAUGGGCAGGUUGAAGCUGUGGUAACACAUAGUGGAGGACCGAACCCGUUGACGUUGAAAAGUCUUGGGAUGACCUGUGGGUAGGGGUGAAAGGCCAAUCAAACUCGGAAAUAGCUCGUACUCCCCGAAAUGCAUUUAGGUGCAGCGUAUUAAUAGUUUUAUAGAGGUAGAGCUACUGAUUGGAUGCGGGGGCUUCACCGCC